AACGUAGGACGCAAGCGUUAUCCGGAGUUACUGGGCGUAAAGGGCAGGCAGGCGGGUCGAUAAGUCGGAUGUGAAAUCUCCCUGGCUUAACCGGAAGAGUGCAUUUGAGACUGUCAACCUGGAGGGCAGCAGAGGAGCGUGGAAUUCCGGGUGGAGUGGUGAAAUGCGUAGAGAUCCGGAGGAACACCAGUGGCGAAGGCGGCUCACUGGUCCGGUACUGACGCUGAGGUGCGAAAGCGUGGGGAGCAAACAGG
rnacentral:rRNA from 1 species